AAAAAGUUAUGAAAAUUUAUGUUCUAUUCAUGAAUCAUUCGAUUUAGUUUUGGGCUUUUAAUACAUCAAUUUAUAGGAAUAAAACCCAGGUGUCAUUCAUGUCACCGUGGUGUCAGGUUGUUCACAAUGAGUCAGUCAGUCAGAUUUGGUUACGGCUACGGUGCCGGAGUCGCCAGCGUGGUCGGCGGUGACGGAUCGUGGUGGUGACGAUUGUUGGGAUUGGUCGCUGUCUAACGUCAUGGUGGAGGCGAGUUCCUUUAAAGAUUUGGAGACAGAGGGCCAAGGUGAUGCGUGUAAGAAGCCUGUGUUGAAUAAGUUUUCUAAUGGAGUCGCGGUUGCGGUUAGUCCGGUUAUGGAUGCAGCUUGGCCUGCGCUCGGUGAGUUGACUAAACCGACGCUUAAGCUGUCCUCAUCGGAGUCAUUAAAAGCGCUUUCUGAUACUAGCACAAUAAUUCUACCAAAGUCAGUUCUUGGGCUGACCAAAGACGUGAAGUGAAAAAAGAUUGCAGUUUUGCAUCUGGGUAUGCUAAAAGGACUGGUGAAAUCAGCAAAUCUAAUCGUAAGAGACUUAAACCUAGAUUCCUAGACCUGGACCAAAGGAUCGCCAGAUGAUUCAAGAUCAUGCAAAAGAGUUAAGAGAAAUUGUUCAUGAUCAUGCAAAACAGUUAAGAGAAAUUGCUCCAGACAGUGCCAAGCGCAACAUCGAUGCUUUGCCAGAACGCACCAUCAAGCACAUGCUUUUCUUUGUUGACAUACACGGGUGAUAGGUUGUGUAACCGUACGGGUCAGAUCACCGUUUAGGUUUUUGCUCAGCUUGCAUGUGACCUUUCCUGGGUCAACCCUUGGAUUUUCGUUUAGCUUACAGCCUUACAGGUAACAUUUGCUUUGUAGCGGGUCAA